CACACCGCCCGUCACACCAUGGAGUGGUUCCAUCAGAAGUAGUUAGCCUAACCGCAAGGAGGGCGACUACCACGGUGAGAUUCAUGACUGGGGUG
rnacentral:rRNA from 1 species